UUACAAUGGAGAGUUUGAUCCUGGCUCAGGAUGAACGCUAGCGGCAGGCUUAACACAUGCAAGUCGAACGGUAACAGAAAAAGCUUGCUUUUUGCUGACGAGUGGCGAACGGGUGCGUAACGCGUAUGCAACCUACCUUUUUC
rnacentral:rRNA from 1 species